AACUUGUAGCAAUGGAUCACUUGGUUCCCGCAUCGAUUAAGAACGCAGCGAAAUGCGAUAAGUAAUGUGAAUUGCAGAAUUCAGUGAAUCAUCGAAUCUUUGAACGCACAUUGCGCCCCUUGGUAUUCCGAGGGGCAUGCCUGUUCGAGCGUCAUGAUCAAAUCUCAAGCCUAGCUUGGAAUUGGGCUUUCGUCUCCCGCCAUUGCGGCUAGUUGAGACGUGCCUAAAAAGAAAUGGCGAUGCCUCAAUGGACUCUAGCGUAGCAGACUGACUUGCGCUUGGAGGGCUGCUGUAGGUUUUGCUAAUAAAACAAUCAAGUUGGACCUCGGAUCAGGUAGGGAUACCCGCUGAACUUAAGCAUAUCAAUAAGCGGAGGCU
rnacentral:misc_RNA from 1 species